UACGAAGGGUGCAAGCGUUACUCGGAAUUACUGGGCGUAAAGCGUGCGUAGGUGGUUCGUUAAGUCUGAUGUGAAAGCCCUGGGCUCAACCUGGGAAUGGCAUUGGAAACUGGCGACCUAGAGUGCGGUAGAGGGUAGUGGAAUUCCCGGUGUAGCAGUGAAAUGCGUAGAUAUCCGGAGGAACACCGGUGGCGAAGGCGGCUUCCUGGACCGAUACUGACGCUGAGGCGCGAAAGCUAGGGGAGCAAACGGG
rnacentral:rRNA from 1 species